GAUGAACGCUGGCGGCGUGCCUAAUACAUGCAAGUCGAGCGAACAGACGAGGAGCUUGCUCCUCUGACGUUAGCGGCGGACGGGUGAGUAACACGUGGAUAACCUACCUAUAAGACUGGGAUAACUUCGGGAAACCGGAGCUAAUACCGGAUAAUAUAUUGAACCGCAUGGUUCAAUAGUGAAAUACGGUUUUGCUGUCACUUAUAGCUGGAUCCGCGCCGCAUUAGCUAGUUGGUAAGGUAACGGCUUACCAAGGCAACGAUGCGUAGCCGACCUGAGAGGGUGGUCGGCCACACUGGAGCUGAGACACGGUCCAGACUCCUACGGGAGGCAGCAGUAGGGAAUCUUCCGCAAUGGGCGAAAGCCUGACGGAGCAACGCCGCGUGAGUGAUGAAGGUCUUCGGAUCGUAAAACUCUGUUAUUAGGGAAGAACAAAUGUGUAAGUAACUAUGCACGUAUUGACGGUACCUAAUCAGAAAGCCACGGCUAACUACGUG
rnacentral:rRNA from 1 species